GCUCAUUCAGGUUUGGGAAUCACCGAGGUAAUAUCUCUCUCAAAGCGUGAAAUCAAGAUUAACUGAUUGACCAGUUGUGCCGCAGUGAAGAUGAAGUAUGCGAUAGUGUUUGUCCUUCUUCUGGUUGCUGUCACGCCAUCAUCAGCCCUUUCCUGUAUAGAUGAUUGUGAGCAGAAAAAUGACCUGUGUGAGGAUGCGUGCUCAAGGAACUAUCUUCCUUGUUCCGUCUGCGCGACGAAAUUGGAUGAUUGUAAGACACUAUGUCCAGGAAAAUGAGCUGGCGAAAGUACUAAGAGGCUUCAAGACAACCAAGGACUCGUCCAGAUAAAUGUCAAAUUUUGUUUUUGUGUCUUUGUAUAAAAUCUAGCGCCACAGCGACUGAUUUCCGAUCUACAUGGAAACCAUAGAUCAUGUCAACUGGUAGAAAUAAAAACGUAUCAAAAAUUAGAA